rnacentral:rRNA from 1 species
GAAUGAAGUCUGACCCUGAAAACACCAGAUCCCAACUGAUCUGAGAACUAGGUAGGAUCAGGUCUGGUUACUACUUGGAUAGGAGACUACCUGGGAUUAGUGGGUGCUAUAGGCU